UAUGACGUCACGCCGCCGUCCUCUUCCCAGAGUCCACCGCGCCACUUUACCUCUGUCGCCGCUUCACUUUGACGCUCAUCAUGAUUCCUCCUGUGCAAGUGUCUCCGUUGAUUAAGACGGCUCGAUGGUCAGCUUUGCUUGUGGGACUAAUAUAUGGCAAGAAGAGAUAUGAUUACUUAAAGCCAAUUGCAGAAGAAGAGCGGAGGAUAGAGGAAGAAGAAAAGAAGCGACAUGAGGAAGCUGAGCGUAUAGCUAAACAAAUUGCAGAAGCUAAUGAGGACACAAUCCUAAAAUAAAGACUUGUGGGUGAAAAUAUUUAUGUGAACUUUUGAAUUAUUACUUCAUCUGAAAUGUUUAAUGUAGCUGUUUGGUCAGUGUACCGACUCUAAGCCUGGAAUCUGGUGUUCUGGACUGUGUAAUGUGUCUGCUACUUCCACACUUUAACAUGUAAAGAGGUAACAUUUCUAAAUAAACUGAAUUUGUCCUACUA